GCAUUCCCAGCUGACAACUGGUCUAAAAUAAACGCUAUAAUUUAAAAAAAAAUUGCUCGACUCUCAUCCGAACUGCUCGUGUCAUACUCGAUUUUUUCAAAACUGCUGGAGUAACGGGAUUUCUCCGGUUGACCGGCUCUGACAGAUUCAAUUCUACCUAUGAUCUGAUUUGAUUUUGGGUGUUUGGAAUACGAUUAGAGCUAAAAAUUGUCGAAAACCUUUAUUUAAAGUGUAUAAAAUCAUUAAAAAUGUCUUCGAUACCUCUGAAGAGAAGCCGAAAAGUGACGAAUCGGGCAAAUAAGAUGCUAGCGGCUUUAGAAGCGGAGUACGAUCGUGAGCAAAACCUGCACGCAGAAGUUCCGGGACCGAGCCGGAUGGUGACUCAAAAUAGCGAUCCAACAUCUCAGGGAGAGAACCAACCCCAGGAGAUGGAAGAUUCAUCGCAGCUUCCGGAACCGAUAGACACAAGCGAUAUUAGUUUUAAUUUUUCUGGUGGUGGUGUUCAAGGGGAUGUAGUUUUAGUUGAUAACAAUUUUGUAGAUUUAGAUAGUAGUGUAGAAACUGGCGACGAGGACGAUUACGUCGGUAAUUGUUCCUCCGACAGUGAUGUAGAAGACAUGGUUGGAGAAUGUACGGCUGCUCAUAACUGCACCAACCAUCGCAAUAUCUCUGAUUGUUUAAGAGAUUGGGCAGUCGUGCAUAACCAACCACGGUCGUCGAUAAAUGAAAUUUUGGCUAUUUUCAGGAAAUGGACUGCCCUACCGCUGCCCAAGGAUUCUCGAACGCUGCUAAAAACAUCCACUACUAUCGGCAAGGAAAUACGAACCCUAGAAGGAGGAGAAUUUUGGUACAAAGGAAUAGAGAAUAAGCUCAACAGCUACUUUCAGUCAACUGUUCCUUCUACGGACCAACUCACAAUCAUGUUGUCCACAGACGGCCUCCCACUUCAUAGAAGUGCAACAACACAGCUUUGGCCCAUCCUAAUGAAAGUGGAAGAGCUCCCCCUAGCCCCAAUCAUGAUGAUAUCAAUGUUCUGUGGACCGGAAAAACCAACCAGCCUGGAAGUCUUUUUGAGGCCGCUGGUAGAGGAAAUGAAAGAGAUUCAUCAGAGAGGAUUGCGGUUCGGGGAUAAAGUGGUGCAGCUAAAGAUCCGCGCUAUUAUUGCCGAUUCACCAGCAAGGGCUUUCAUAAAAGCAACGACCAACUAUAAUGGAUACCACGGCUGUAUGCGGUGUACCUGUGUCGGUGAAUAUUAUGCACACCGAAUGAUUUUCGACACCGUCGGUGCUCCACUACGAACCGAUGCAGGAUUUCGAGCUAGGGAAUGUCCGGGUCAUCACCAACUAUGGAACUCACCAUUAGAGGAAUUGCCGGGUUUCAACAUGGUUGAGAAUGUACCAACGAGCGAUCGCCUACAUACAUGCGAUCUGGGAGUGACCCGUCGACACCUAUUAUUAUUAGUUGAAAAUAAGUAUUCUAAUUUUCCUCCUUUAUCUUUUGCAGCAAAAAAAUGGAUAUCUAAAUUCCUUACCACAGUAAAACUUCCCUCUGAGAUUAAUCGCAAACUCAGAGGUUUGGAUGUGAUACGGUUUUGGAAGGGUUCGGAAUUUCGAUCAUACUUGCAUUACGCCAGUCCAGUGCUGAUGGAGGAAUUUUUAAGUGAUAAAGCGUAUAGUCACUUCUUGCUUUAUUUUUGUGCUUUAACUAUAUUUUCUUCUUCAUUUCAUCGGAGCCUUUGGGGACGUGCAGCUGAAUUUAUGGACACCUUUGUUCAGUUGUAUGGGGAGAUUUAUGGUCGUGAGAACCUCACGAGCAACGUCCAUAAUCUUCAGCACAUUGCUCAGGACGUUUUGCAGUACGGACCGCUAGACGAGUUUUCAACAUACUGUUUCGAAAACCACCUGCAGGUCAUCAAACGGUCGGUUCGAUCAGGCUUUCGGUGUGGAAUUCAAGCUGCAGCACGUUCAGAAGAAAGAUCUGCAUUGGGAGUGGCAAGUAGUAGAACGAACCGUCGCUAUCCCUACUUGACCACAAACGGGAAAGGCAUUUUUUUGGCCUCCGAUUUUGUUUUACGACCAUUGCCUAGAGACGAAUGGUUUUUAACAAAGAGUAACGGAGUAGUAAAAUUUCUGAGUAUCAUUCAAACAAAUGACAAUUUUACGAUAAUAGGAAAACAAUAUUCACAUGUCUUAGAUUUAUUUUCGUUUCUUUUUAGCGAGGAUGACCCGGAUUCAGAAUUUUCGUCUUCCGAUAUUCUUAUAUAUAAAAUACCUGCGGACGUUCCGACACAAAAUGUAGAAGUGGAUGCAGCAGAUAUUAGAUGUAAACUUGUAGCCGUUCAUCCAGCCCCUAAUCCCACAACUACGGUAGUUUUUCCUCUUUUGCAUACUCUUCGUGAAGAUUAAGUAAGUAUAUCCGAAUUUAUCAGUCACUCACUUUACUAACGUAUAAAUUUUACUGUCGUGUAGGUAGCUCCAGAAAUACCAGGAUACGAGUGUGGCGUAUGAUCUUGCUUGACCGUGAGCAGCUCAGAGAGCUCCUAUGGAAGACACUGCGAGGAUGAUCCGGAGUCGAUUUUUUCGUCAUCUGAUAUCCUUAUAUACAAAAUACCGGCGGACGUUCCGACACAAGACGUGGAAGUGGAAUUAGCAGAUGUCAGAUGCAAGCUAGUCUCUGUCCAGCGCUCAGUUCGACCCAAAUCAACAGUGUUCUUUCCUCUGCUGCAUACACUUCGAUCCGAGUAAGUAAAAAUAAACGAACUACAACGAGUUAUUGAAAGGAACCUGAACUAAUUUACAAAUUGAUCUCUUUUUAGGUAGCUGGUAGUGUGGUAGUGUGGUGCUUCCAGCAAAGAUAUUGCUUUCACGUUGUUAUUCUAUUUUUAUUAUUUUUCCAUAUGAUAGUGUUCCGUUUCGUUAUAAUUUCCCCUUUGUUUUGUAUCAUAGAUUAGCUAGAAAUUCAAUUUGGUUUCAACUUCCAUUCAUUAAAUUGCAUGAAAAAAUUCUAUUUAUACAUUAAUUAAUAUUUCAUAUUAUGACUAAUAAGAAGUAGCAUCAAUUAACUCCUUGUUCAGGUUUUUUAAACCGAACAAAAAAUCAACAAUUAAAUGUAACGAUAAAUUCAUAAUUCAAUUAAUUCAUUUAAGGAACUUUGGUAAAUAAUUCAUUUAGGCACUU